rnacentral:rRNA from 1 species
UACGCAGGUGGCGAGCGUUGUCCGGAUUUAUUGGGCGUAAAGCGAGCGCAGGUGGUUUAAUAAGUCCGAUGUAAAAGGCAGUGGCUCAACCAUUGUGUGCAUUGGAAACUGUUAGACUUGAGUGCAGUAGAGGAGAGUGGAAUUCCAUGUGUAGCGGUGAAAUGCGUAGAUAUAUGGAGGAACACCGGUGGCGAAAGCGGCUCUCUGGACUGUAACUGACACUGAGGCUCGAAAGCGUGGGUAGCAAACAGG